GAUGAAGAACGUAGUGAAAUGCGAUAAGUAAUGUGAAUUGCAGAAUUCAGUGAAUCAUCGAAUCUUUGAACGCACAUUGCGCCCGCCAGUAUUCUGGCGGGCAUGCCUGUUCGAGCGUCAUUUCAACCAUCAAGCCCCCGGCUUGUGUUGGGACCUGCGGCUGCCGCAGGCCCUGAAAAGCAGUGGCGGGCUCGCUGUCACACCGAGCGUAGUAGCAUACAUCUCGCUCUGGGCGUGCUGCGGGUUCCGGCCGUUAAACCACCUUCAUAACCCAAGGUUGACCUCGGAUCAGGUAGGAAGACCCGCUGAACUUAAGCAUAUCAAUAAGCGGAGGA
rnacentral:misc_RNA from 1 species